rnacentral:rRNA from 1 species
UACGUAGGGUGCAAGCGUUGUCCGGAAUUAUUGGGCGUAAAGAGCUCGUAGGCGGUCUGUCGCGUCGGCUGUGAAAUCCCGAGGCUCAACCUCGGGCCUGCAGUCGAUACGGGCAAACUGGAGUGUUGCAGGGGAGACUGGAAUUCCUGGUGUAGCGGUGGAAUGCGCAGAUAUCAGGAGGAACACCGGUGGCGAAGGCGGGUCUCUGGGCCGACAUUGACGCUGAGGAGCGAAAGCGUGGGGAGCGAACAGG